GGGAGUAUAAAUAGAGGAGCUGCAGCCAGUGCAAAUCAGACUCGCUCUGCACAGAGAGAUCUACAGCACAGAGAUCCAGACAUGACACCUCCAAUCAUCUCAAAGGAGCAUCUCCCUCUCAUCAACAAGCUGAGAAAGCCAAUAGUGGAGAAGAUGAAGGUCUCAACAGCUCAAGUGUCUUCUGGCUCCAGAGUUCGUCAAGCAGCAGCAGCCUGAUUCCAAGCUGGAGAAAGCAGAUAUCCUGGGGUUCCUCCAUCCAUCAGCUGCAUCAGCAAAGGCAUUGAUUUAUCCUGUAGCGCCCUCUGGAGGAAGCCAAGUCUAUAUUAGACACCAAGGAUGUGGACCACAUUUUGGUUCUUUCUGAUAUGCAAAGACUGUUAAUCUGAGUCAGAUUUUAUCAUACACAUCUAUGUUAGAUGUCAUUAACAAUAUUACUGGAUUUGAUUUUAUUUUGUUUCCAUCACUGGAAAUGUUUUGUGUAUUGUUGAAUACAUUCAUAUACACCUUCUAUGAAGGCAAAUUACAUUUUCACCAUGAAAUGGUAAAUCUUUGCUUUAUGUGAAGUACAAAUAUCCCAUAUUGGGAACUGUUUUUGAACAUUUUAUCAGUAUGAUAAACAAUCUGUUGUCCUCAUAGGACAUCAUAGAAUCACAUAUAAAAGUGGUUCAGUGUGUUUUUCUGCCAUAUAAACUCACUUCUGUUGAGUGUGACACCUGUGGAUGAUAUAUUUUCCUUUAGUGGAAUGUCUUAACUGUUAAGUAUCUUCACAUUUAAGCACUAACAGUUUCUGUCAUGCUUUAAUAUGACCCCUCAUGUGGAGGAAUGUUAAUAAUGAUUUGUGGUAAAUCAUUUGUCACAUGACUUUUGUAAAGUUUGUUGAUAUUUGAUGUGAGUUCCAAUAUGCUUUUAAUGUGUUUUGGAGAUCUCUUCAUGCAAAUGCUGUGAUAUGUUAUCACCUAUUUAUUUGCAUUCAUGAUGACAUCACUAAAUAAUAAAAAUAAAAAAAGUCAAAUGUG